UUCCUGUAAUUCUUCAUCACACUCGAUCUCAACAUUUUGCUUAGUAUUAUACCCCAUAAUGAUAAUAAAGCCCUGUCCCGUUUUAAGUGUUGUAACCCCUGAUCACUGAUACCCUGUCCAAGUGACGUAGGGCCCCGUAACGUAUGUCAAGGCUAUGCCUAAAUUCGUUGGGGUUCUGUUUCGUGACGUAGGGAUAAAGUGGAAUUGGGUUACUAUACUUAAUGUGAGUGCACUAUAUAUUUUAGUAAAUAACCCAGAAGUGAUACUCGAAAUAUAGCAACUCUCCUAAAACACCCCUGACACCCUACACUUCCUGAGAUACAUCCCAUACGUGAAAACCGAGCCCGAAUUAUAAUAUAAUAUUAAAAAUAAAUGGAAAACAAGAAAAAGUAAGCUUAGGCGGGCCGCGUAACCCAACCCAGUUAGUUAACGCGGGCCGCGAGAGGUUCAAAAGGUGGCGCAGCCCGGUGCGGCCACGUGGCCCAACACCCGGCAGGUCUAGUUGGUGACUCGGACAAGCUACGCUGUUGACCAGUGUUGACGCGGGCCGCGUAGACCUUGGUCUACCUUUACGCGGGCCGCGAGAGGACCCGAAAUCAGCACUAUAUAUAGAGGGCCUCGGAUCUUCAGUUGAAUUCGUUCACAAAUCGUUUUCUUUUUCUCAAAUCUAAAGUGUAGGCAUUAUACACGGGUAUAAUACCCCCCUAAUUAGCGAAGCUCUGCCUCGUUGUAAGUAUCAUAACCCAUGGAUACGUAUUAGAUACUCUGCCCGAUUGAUCUAGGGUUCCGUAACGGCUGUCGUGGUCCUGCCCGACGUAGUCGUUGGAAUGCCGUCUCGGGAAGGAUUAUAACCAGGGAAUCACAAAGGAAAGCCCUAUAAUAGCAAUGUAACUUAGUAUGAAGCCAAUAAAAGCCAGCUGGAGAGCACUGAAGGCUUGGAAAAGUGGCUAUAAAGUUACCUAAAAUAAAAUAGAUGUUUUUAUUAAAUAAAAUAGGAUUUAUUCCUAUGAAAAUGUGUGUACUACAAACUUGGGUUUUACCCAUGUGUUUAAUGUUAUAAAAUGUGGUGGUU
rnacentral:lncRNA from 1 species